AUCAACGCUGGCGGCGUGCCUCAGACAUGCAAGUCGAACGAUUAAAGCUCCCUUCGGGGAGUGCAUAGAGUGGCGCACGGGUGAGUAACACGUAAAUAAUCUACCCUCGAGUGGGGAAUAACGUCCGGAAACGGGCGCUAAUACCGCAUAAUGCAGCGGCACCGCAAGGUGACAGUUGUUAAAGAUUUAUUGCUUGAGGAGGAGUUUGCGGCAGAUUAGCUAGUUGGUAAGGUAAUGGCUUACCAAGGCUACGAUCUGUAUCCGGUCUAAGAGGACGGUCGGACACACUGACACUGAAUAACGGGUCAGACUCCUACGGUAGGCAGCAGUCGGGAAUUUUGGGCAAUGGGGGAAACCCUGACCCAGCAACGCCGCGUGGAGGGAUGAAGUUUUUCGGAAUGUAAACUUCGAGAGAAUAGGAAGAAUUAAUGACGGUACUAUUUAUAAGGUCCGGCUAACUACGUGCCAGCAGCCGCGGUAAUACGUAGGGACCAAGCGUUGUUCGGAUUCAUUGGGCGUAAAGGGUGCGUAGGCGGCGAAGUAAGUCAGGUGUGAAAUCUCGGGGCUCAACCCCGAAACUGCACUUGAUACUGCCUUGCUUGAGUACUGGAGAGGAGACUGGAAUUUACGGUGUAGCAGUGAAAUGCGUAGAUAUCGUAAGGAAGACCAGUGGCGAAGGCGAGUCUCUGGACAGUUACUGACGCUGAGGCACGAAGGCCAGGGGAGCAAACGGGAUUAGAUACCCCGGUAGUCCUGGCAGUAAACGGUGCACGUUUGGUGUGGGAGGAUUCGACCCCUUCCGUGCCGGAGCUAACGCGUUAAACGUGCCGCCUGGGGAGUACGGUCGCAAGAUUAAAACUCAAAGAAAUUGACGGGGGCCCGCACAAGCGGUGGAGUAUGUGGCUUAAUUCGAUGCAACGCGAAGAACCUUACCUGGCCUUGACAUGCAUCUCUAAGUCGGUGAAAGCCGGCGAGUGUAGCAAUACACAAUUUGCACAGGUGCUGCAUGGCUGUCGUCAGCUCGUGUCGUGAGAUGUUGGGUUAAGUCCCGCAACGAGCACAACCCUUGUCUUCUGUUGCCAUCGGGUUAUGCCGGGCACUCUGAAGAGACUGCCGGUGACAAACCGGAGGAAGGUGGGGAUGACGUCAAGUCAGCAUGGCCUUUAUGUCUGGGGCCACACACGUGCUACAAUGGCCGGUACAAACCGUCGCGAUACCGCAAGGUGGAGCUAAUCGGAGAAAGCCGGUCUCAGUUCGGAUUGUAGGCUGCAACUCGCCUGCAUGAAGUUGGAAUCGCUAGUAAUCGCGGAUCAGCACGCCGCGGUGAAUACGUUCCCGGGCCUUGUACACACCGCCCGUCACAUCACGAAAGCUGGCUGUACUAGAAGUCGCUACGCUAACCCGCAAGGGAGGCAGGUGCCUAAGGUAUGGUCAGUGAUUGGGGUG
rnacentral:rRNA from 1 species